rnacentral:rRNA from 1 species
GGUCUUUGGCCGUCCGAGUUGUAGUUUAUAGAGGCGUUUUCCGCGCUGGACCGUGUACAAGUCCCCUGGAAUGGGGCGUCAUAGAGGGUGAGAAUCCCGUACUUGACACGGACUGCCAGUGCUAUGUGAUGCGCCUUCGAAGAGUCGAGUUGUUUGAGAAUGCAGCUCAAAAUGGGUGGUAAAUUCCAUCUAAAGCUAAAUAUAGGCGAGAGACCGAUAGCGAACAAGUACCGUGAGGGAAAGAUGAAAAGAACUUUGGAAAGAGAGUUAAAAAGUACGUGAAAUUGCUGAAAGGGAAACGCUUGAAGUCAGUCGUCUCCGCCGGGAAUCAGCCUUGCUUCUGCUUGGUGCACUUCUCGUGUGGAGGGGCCAGCAUCGAUUUUGGUCGUCGGAUAAUGGCGGGGGGAAUGUGGCACCUUUCGGGGUGUGUUAUAGCCUCUCGUCGUAUACGGCGGCUGGGAUCGAGGACCGCAGUGCGCCUUUGGUCGGGGGUUCGCCUCACGCGACGCGCUUAGGAUGCUGGCAUAAUGGCUUUUAAACGACCCGUCUUGAAACACGGACCAAGGAGUCUAACAUGCCUGCGAGUGUUUUGGGUGGUAAACUCAGGCGCGAAAUGAAAGUGAAAGGUUGGGAGCCCGCNNGGNNGNACCGACGCCCGAUCCUGACGUUCUCUGACGGAUUUGAGG